GACGAACGCUGGCGGCGUGCUUAACACAUGCAAGUCGAACGGAAAGGCCCUGCUUUUGUGGGGUGCUCGAGUGGCGAACGGGUGAGUAACACGUGAGUAACCUGCCCUUGACUUUGGGAUAACUUCAGGAAACUGGGGCUAAUACGGGAUAGGAGCUCCUGCUGCAUGGUGGGGGUUGGAAAGUUUCGGCGGUUGGGGAUGGACUCGCGGCUUAUCAGCUUGUUGGUGGGGUAGUGGCUUACCAAGGCUUUGACGGGUAGCCGGCCUGAGAGGGUGACCGGCCACAUUGGGACUGAGAUACGGCCCAGACUCCUACGGGAGGCAGCAGUGGGGAAUAUUGCACAAUGGGCGGAAGCCUGAUGCAGCAACGCCGCGUGCGGGAUGACGGCAAUCGGGUUGUAAACCGCUUUCGCCUGUGACGAAGCGUGAGUGGCGGUAAUGGGUAAAGAAGCACCGGCUAACUACGUG
rnacentral:rRNA from 1 species